GUAAUUGCUAAUUUACUACGUGAGUUUUAUUUGAUCGAAUAUAAGUUUCGUAAUGUUUAGGCUGUGACAAAUGUACUGAUAUAAGUGGACACACGUGCCAUCCGGUAACCUUGAUAAAAAUAUAUUUUAUAUCGGUGUUGUCUCUGUUGUACACACACGUAUUUCCACUCUCAUUGGCUAGAAUGUUCGCCUUGAGCUCGCCCCCUUCCGCCUGCCGUCCGCCUUUGCGAACAUGUAUUUCAAUCGUCAGAGCGGAUAGUUGACUAUCUUGACAAUAUAAUAUGCUCUCUUUGACAUAGGCUAGUACCCGGAAACACUCAAAUUAGUUAUGCUGCGUUCAUAAUAUGGUAAUGGGGGAAAUGAAGGCAGGACGGUCCUGUAUGGCGUCCCAGCAAAAUAAAUAGUGGGGGUACGCGGUCCCAGUAAAACGUGAGCCUUUCACAACAUGCCCAAAAAUCUAUGGGCUGCACCAUUAUUUAACAUUACGGCAUUUCAGGCCCAUUAAAAAUGUGCGAAAUGACUCGAAACCAGGUGGUGGUGUACGCACCAAAUUGUGUUGUGGUUUGAGGAGAGCACUUAUAUUUUGACGAGGCGAGAUAUUGGCUGAGACGCUCGCGGACAAGGCGGAGAUGAGCGCGUGGACAACAGAGGAUGCAUCAAUUCAGGCUACAAGUGUAGGCCUAAUGACAAUCAUAGAAUGUUAUUACAAUACACGUAGGUUUUUUGUAACAGAUAUGUCUUUCCAUUCAUCAGUGCACUGUUGGGGUUUGGGUGCUGAUAUUACUUUUUGAGUGGACGAAUGUGCGCGGGGGGCCUACAGGAGCGCAUUUGUUAAGUGAUUGUUUGACAAUCAGAUACAAAUAUAUUGACUGGUUGUGUUUAUGCCACAUUAAAAGGCAUAGGCCGCGUGUCCAUAAGGCUAAGGGAAGCAUUCCCUAAAGUAAAUGUAAUUAAAUUGCCAAAAGUAUAUAGCCUAAUUGGCUUACUCCUGUCUAUAGAUAAAAGAAAUCAUAAAAAUAGACUACUGUACCAGAAAGCAUGAUUUGGCCACAGAGGAUCAUUAGCUUCAUAAACAAACAAAGAUUUUUUUAAAAAUCGCAUAGCCCACAGUCGGAAGGGCUGUGGGCUAUGCGAGCUGCAAAUACCAAAUAAUAGAUGAUUGUUGAGUUGCGACUGUCAGUGAAAAGCAGAGACCCAGCCAGGCAUAUUGCAAAAUUUAAAAACACAAUCGCGGGAAAACUGUUUGGAAAGCAAAUGGCUAAGAUAUUACAAUGAAAAGAUUCCAAUCUGUCUUUUAGUUUUCAAAAUUAUUAACUUAAUUGAGGGAACAGUAUGGGUACCAGCGGAGAACUUCGGCCAUAUCCCCGGUGAGUGUGCAUAUUCACUGUCUUUGUCAUUGGGUCAAUGCCACAAUAAUAAUUUCCUCUUCCAGGUUAGAUGGACUUCAUAUUGUAUUUGUGUCUCCACUUUUCGUAGGCCAAUUAUACAUUGAUCAGACAACAUUGUUUUUAUUGAUCUGUUUGUUAUUGUCAACAGAGUAGGCUACCCUGUAUUUUUUGUAGUAUAAAAAAAAUGUGUGCAUGCACUUGGGUGUCCAGUACCGGUAAGAAAUUAAAUCUACUUUAACCCCUGAAUGUGAUAAAUACCACCUUUCCACUCAGUUAUGAAUUCAUCAUUAGACUAAAUUUAUGCUGCGUUCAUAACCAAGUAGGAAGGUAGUAUCUACCAAAUAUGACUGGAAAAAUCCACAUGAAAGCCCCUCCAAAUUCGUCUAUCAUCUAGGUGGCAGUGUGCACCCUUUCAGUUUGUUUGCCAACUCACCAAAGUAGUAAAAGAAGAAAAUGGACUACUUCAAAAUGGAGAUGGCCUCAAUGGUGCUGCCAGUGCACAAAAUGUGAUUCAUUCUAAAGAGUAGGCCCAGAGAAAAUUACACAGAGUACUCAAUAGCCUUCACCAACAAGAGAUAGAAUUCAGGCAACAGACAACCAGCAACGAUAACUUUCAGAAGCAGAUUAAGAGCCUUCGCAAGGUGAAGACACAACCGCAGUCCCACAAAUCUUCACUUGGUGAGAUAACUUUGUGUGAGACACCCUAAUUAGGAUUUGAUCUAUUGACUAGUAAACAAACAAACAUUGUCUUCACAGAGGAAAGCUCUGUCCUAUGUUUGCCAAGAUGUGAUCUGCUAAACUCAAUGUGUUACUACUUUGCAAUUUCUGUCACCAUUGAGCCUAGAAGCUGGGGAGAGGCGAGAAAAGACUGUUUAAGUCAUGGAGCUGACCUGGUUCUGGUAGAUAGCUGGGAGAAGCAGGCGUUCAUAAGUAAGAUGAUACACAAAGUGCAGUUUAACACCAAACCCAUGCACAUGAAAGGGUUAUGGAUAGGACUGAAGGAGGAAGAGGAUACAGAGGGCACCUGGACAUGGGUUAACAGGACUGAGCUGACUCAGGGGUACUGGCAUGAGACAGCCCAAAGACCACUUUGGAAUGGACAGGUACUGGCAUGAGACAGCCCAAAGACCACUUUGGAAUGGACAGGUAUAAUCAUGCAUGAUCUUCUAUGUAUUUGUGUAGACCAACAUGUCAAGCGGUACUUGGUUAAAUGUUUCCACUGUACCAUUAUCAUUCAGGAUAAGACCAGAAUGUCAAUUAAGUAACAUUUAAUUUGGUUUAAAGGUACUGGCAUGAGACAGCCCAAAGACCACUUUGGAAUGGACAGGUAUAAUCAUGCAUGAUCUUCUAUGUAUUUGUGUAGACCAACAUGUCAAGCGGUACUUGGUUAAAUGUUUCCACUGUACCAUUAUCAUUCAGGAUAAGACCAGAAUGUCAAUUAAGUAACAUUUAAUUUGGUUUAAAGGUACUGGCAUGAGACAGCCCAAAGACCACUUUGGAAUGGACAGGUAUAAUCAUGCAUGAUCUUCUAUGUAUUUGUGUAGACCAACAUGUCAAGCGGUACUUGGUUAAAUGUUUCCACUGUACCAUUAUCAUUCAGGAUAAGACCAGAAUGUCAAUUAAGUAACAUUUAAUUUGGUUUAAAGGUACUGGCAUGAGACAGCCCAAAGACCACUUUGGAAUGGACAGGUAUAAUCAUGCAUGAUCUUCUAUGUAUUUGUGUAGACCAACAUGUCAAGCGGUACUUGGUUAAAUGUUUCCACUGUACCAUUAUCAUUCAGGAUAAGACCAGAAUGUCAAUUAAGUAACAUUUAAUUUGGUUUAAAGGUACUGGCAUGAGACAGCCCAAAGACCACUUUGGAAUGGACAGGUAUAAUCAUGCAUGAUCUUCUAUGUAUUUGUGUAGACCAACAUGUCAAGCGGUACUUGGUUAAAUGUUUCCACUGUACCAUUAUCAUUCAGGAUAAGACCAGAAUGUCAAUUAAGUAACAUUUAAUUUGGUUUAAAGGUACUGGCAUGAGACAGCCCAAAGACCACUUUGGAAUGGACAGGUAUAAUCAUGCAUGAUCUUCUAUGUAUUUGUGUAGACCAACAUGUCAAGCGGUACUUGGUUAAAUGUUUCCACUGUACCAUUAUCAUUCAGGAUAAGACCAGAAUGUCAAUUAAGUAACAUUUAAUUUGGUUUAAAGGUACUGGCAUGAGACAGCCCAAAGACCACUUUGGAAUGGACAGGUAUAAUCAUGCAUGAUCUUCUAUGUAUUUGUGUAGACCAACAUGUCAAGCGGUACUUGGUUAAAUGUUUCCACUGUACCAUUAUCAUUCAGGAUAAGACCAGAAUGUCAAUUAAGUAACAUUUAAUUUGGUUUAAAGGUACUGGCAUGAGACAGCCCAAAGACCACUUUGGAAUGGACAGGUAUAAUCAUGCAUGAUCUUCUAUGUAUUUGUGUAGACCAACAUGUCAAGCGGUACUUGGUUAAAUGUUUCCACUGUACCAUUAUCAUUCAGGAUAAGACCAGAAUGUCAAUUAAGUAACAUUUAAUUUGGUUUAAAGGUACUGGCAUGAGACAGCCCAAAGACCACUUUGGAAUGGACAGGUAUAAUCAUGCAUGAUCUUCUAUGUAUUUGUGUAGACCAACAUGUCAAGCGGUACUUGGUUAAAUGUUUCCACUGUACCAUUAUCAUUCAGGAUAAGACCAGAAUGUCAAUUAAGUAACAUUUAAUUUGGUUUAAAGGUACUGGCAUGAGACAGCCCAAAGACCACUUUGGAAUGGACAGGUAUAAUCAUGCAUGAUCUUCUAUGUAUUUGUGUAGACCAACAUGUCAAGCGGUACUUGGUUAAAUGUUUCCACUGUACCAUUAUCAUUCAGGAUAAGACCAGAAUGUCAAUUAAGUAACAUUUAAUUUGGUUUAAAGGUACUGGCAUGAGACAGCCCAAAGACCACUUUGGAAUGGACAGGUAUAAUCAUGCAUGAUCUUCUAUGUAUUUGUGUAGACCAACAUGUCAAGCGGUACUUGGUUAAAUGUUUCCACUGUACCAUUAUCAUUCAGGAUAAGACCAGAAUGUCAAUUAAGUAACAUUUAAUUUGGUUUAAAGGUACUGGCAUGAGACAGCCCAAAGACCACUUUGGAAUGGACAGGUAUAAUCAUGCAUGAUCUUCUAUGUAUUUGUGUAGACCAACAUGUCAAGCGGUACUUGGUUAAAUGUUUCCACUGUACCAUUAUCAUUCAGGAUAAGACCAGAAUGUCAAUUAAGUAACAUUUAAUUUGGUUUAAAGGUACUGGCAUGAGACAGCCCAAAGACCACUUUGGAAUGGACAGGUAUAAUCAUGCAUGAUCUUCUAUGUAUUUGU